rnacentral:rRNA from 1 species
UGCGUAGGUGGUUAUGUAAGUUAGGUGUGAAAUUCCCGGGCUUAACCUGGGGACUGCGCCUGAUACUGCAUAGCUAGAGUACUGUAGAGGGAAGUGGAAUUUCCGGUGUAGCGGUGAAAUGCGUAGAUAUCGGAAGGAACAUCGGUGGCGAAGGCGACUUCCUGGACAGCUACUGACACUGAGGCACGAAAGCAUGGGGAGGCAAACA